rnacentral:rRNA from 1 species
GGUUAAGCGACUAAGCGUACACGGUGGAUGCCCUGGCAGUCAGAGGCGAUGAAGGACGUGCUAAUCUGCGAUAAGCGUCGGUAAGGUGAUAUGAACCGUUAUAACCGACGAUUUCCGAAUGGGGAAACCCAGUGUGAUUCGUCACACUAUCGUUAAGUGAAUACAUAGCUUAACGAAGCGAACCGGGGGAACUGAAACAUCUAAGUACCCCGAGGAAAAGA